GACGAACGCUGGCGGCGUGCUUAACACAUGCAAGUCGAACGGUGAACCUCUUCGGAGGGGAUCAGUGGCGAACGGGCGCGUAACACGUGGGCAACCUGCCCCCGGCUCUGGGAUAACUCCAAGAAAUUGGGGCUAAUACCGGAUGUUCACCGCUUCCCGCAUGGGUGGUGGUGGAAAGGGUUUCCGGCUGGGGAUGGGCCCGCGGCCUAUCAGCUUGUUUGUGGGGUAGUGGCCUACCAAGGCGACGACGGGUAGCCGGCAUGAGAGGGUGACCGGCCACACUGGGACUGAGACACGGCCCAGACUCCAACGGGAGGCAGCAGUGGGGAAGAUUGCGCAAUGGGCGGAAGCCUGACGCAGCGAGGCCGCGUGGGGGAUGACGGCCUUCGGGUUGUAAACCUCUUUCAGCAGGGACGAAGCGAAAGUGACGGUACCUGCAGAAGAAGCACCGGCCAACUACGUG
rnacentral:rRNA from 1 species